GCACUCCAGUUGACUUUGCGGAGAUAUGGAAGGCGGCUUUGGCUCGGAUUUCGGGAGCUCCGGCAGCGGGAAGCUGGACCCGGGGCUUAUCAUGGAGCAGGUGAAAGUGCAGAUCGCCGUGGCCAACGCGCAGGAGCUGCUGCAGAGGAUGACGGACAAGUGCUUCCGGAAGUGCAUCGGGAAGCCGGGGGGCUCCUUGGACAAUUCGGAGCAGAAGUGCAUCGCCAUGUGCAUGGACCGCUACAUGGACGCCUGGAACACCGUGUCCCGUGCCUACAACUCUCGGCUGCAGCGAGAACGAGCCAACAUGUGAUCGCGACGCGCCAGCAGCCCACUUCCCACCCCACCCCACUCCCAGUUCCAUCUCCAUAAAUGCUGUUUGUGAGGCGGGGGCCAACGUGUGCGUGCUGCCUGCCAGAAGUUUAUGAGGACCAGACUGGUGCUGGGACAGUUGGUAUUCUGUCUCUCCGUGCCCCGUUCGCGCACACGUGCCGGCGAGUGUAACUUGCGUCUGGGGGGCCCCUGGCCCGGGUGGUGCCUUCCCUAGUGCCCCUGUUACCGAAUUGUGUCAUAUGGACCCUGUUGGGGGCCGGCUUAGGCUCUAUGUCUCCUAGGGGGUGUUCUUUUUCUGUUCCGUGGAGCCUGAAGCUGAGAUGGACACAGCACAAGCUUUAUUCAGCAGUUAAAGUAUGGAGACGCGUGAACAAACGAACUCACAGAUCAGCUUCUUAGCUGGCGAGAGGGGCUUAAUUUUAACAAGGAGGCCUGUGUGUAUGUCUACGCGGGAAGGGGCUGAGCUUUUUCCGAGGGAGUGGGGUGCCACCUCUUUUUUAUCUUUUUUGGUCUUUAAUGUCUGGUCGAGGCUGCGGAUGCGUGUGUUAUUUAAUAAGCUAAUGUAGUAAAAUCCACACAUAAUGAGACAGCGUUUGUUGGAAGUCAGAUUUGCCACCAUUUUCCUCCCAGCAGGGUUUCGUGGUUUUGUUUUUGUGUGUAUGUGUCUUCGUGUUCUAUGCAUUAGGAUUAACUGAAAGUUAAUCUUUAAAGAUUUCUGUUCACUCCUACUAAAAGGUGGGGUGGUGGUUGGCAGGUUUUGAGCAGGGACCUCCUUCCUGCAAAAGGUCAGGGUGGAUAGGUUGUGAGGAAAGGGCUGGAGCAGCUCUGGUGACAAACUACUCCCUUCCUUAUUAUUGCUCAUUCCUUUUUUUUUUUCUUCUUCUUUUUUUUUUUUUUUUUUUUUAAUGGCUGCAGGUGAGGCCUAUGGAAGUUCCUGGGCCAGGGAUUGAAUUCAAACCAAAGGACUUCCCUUGUGGCUCACAACAUAACUACAUGGUGUUGUUUCUACAGUGGCUGUGGUUCUGUCCCUGGCUCGGCAAUUUCCAUAUGCUGCAGGAGUGGCCAGUUGUUAUAAAAAAAACAAAAAGAAGAAGAAGAAGAAUGAAUCUGAGCCAAAGCUAUGACUUAUGUUACACCUGUGGCAAUUCAGGAUCCUUUAACCUGCUGUGCCAGGCCAGAAACUGGAGCCGCUGCAGCCAGAUUCUUAAUCUACUGUGCCACAGUGAAAACUCCCUGCCCCUCAUUCUUUUUUUUUUUAAUUUUUUUAAUUUUUAAAUUUUAUUUAUUUAUUUAUUUAUUUAUUUUUGUCUUUUUGCUAUUUCGUGGGCCGCUCUCGCGGCAUAUGGAGGUUCCCAGGCUAGAGGUCGAAUCGGAGCUAUAGCUGCCAGCCUACGCUGGAGCCACAGCAACGCAGGAUCCGAGCCGAGUCUGCGACCUACACCACAGCUCACGGCAAUGCCGGAUCCUUUAACCCACUGAGCAAGGGCAGGGAUCGAACCCGCAACCUCAUGGUUCCUAGUCGGAUUCGUUAACCACUGCGCCACGACGGGAACUCCUUUGCCCCUCAUUCUUGAGGGUGAAAGUGUGUCUUCUGAGGCUGCUUCCUGUUGAACUUGAGGAAUAGUUUUUUUCUGUAGCAGAGCUGUUCCUGACUUGCCUAAAAUAUAUCUGAUUGUCACCAGGCAGCAGUCCCAGUGCUUAUACCCCCCUGUAUGAGUAUCAGCUGAAGCUUGAGGACUCUGAACCAUUUACUAAAAAAGCUGACAAGGCUGUUCGAGAGGCCAGGCCUGAAGAUGAUCAGGAGAUUAAUAGCAGUUAGUGCAUCAAGAUGAGGAAGAUACCAGGUUUUAUUGGGAAGGCCCUGUUUGACUAUAUUCCAGAUGGAGCUUGGGUUAGGACCUUGUGUGUUAUAUCUUUGUAACCUCUGAGCUUGCUCUUGUAUCUCUUUUAUGUUUAUCUCAGUCUGAUGAGAGUGUGGGGCAAGUUUUAUUGGUAACUGCAGAGACUCCCCCCUUGCUCAGCCAGGAGAUAGUCAAGGACAGUAUUUGCUCCUGAGUCCAGAGAAGUAGGGGAUCCUUGGAAGGCAUCCCCCAUGUUUUUAGACAAGUUCUCAAGGGCCCAUGUGAGAUUUUGUGCAGUGAUUUCGUAGUACGUAAAACCUCCCAGGGGGCUGCCAGGCCCAGAGCAAUCCCUACUCCUUCCAGGAUGAGUUUUAUUGCCUUUUUGUCUCAGGCCUGGGUGAUGUUAUGAAUGGUUAUACCUAGGUUCCUAAAACUUAGCUAGUGUAGCAUGCAUUUUGCACAAACUGGGCAUCAUCUAAGCAAGGGUAGGCUAGGUUUGUUCUGAUAGGGCAAGUGGUUUAUCCCUGGGCUCCAAAGGAACAGGUAGGUACCCAGAGGGAGCCCAUGCCUGGUGCACUUAUUAGGAGUUGAACCACCUUCAUAAGAGGCUGGCCCAAGAGGCGGUGGCCUUGCAGUGUGGGAAGAGAAGCCCACCUGCAUAUUGGGGGUCACUGGGGGAAUUCUUGACUGGUGACUUUUCCCCAGAAAUUUGGGAGAGCCAUAGACUAAACAUCAGACAUCGUCUCUUCCCAGCAGGUGCAUCUCCCAUCUGGUCCCUGUGUAUAUUCACGGAGUCAGAGUAGAGGGCACCAAUGGGUGAGAUUUCCACAGGAGUCAAUCCCAGGGCGCUUAAAUUGUGAGGUAAUGGGAGAAACAUUGAUUGGAGUUCACAGCAGCUCCAGGGUGUUACUGUCGGUUCUUCCCUUUGGGGGGGUGGCCGUUCAUGGGGCGGUGGAAGUGGGAGAUCAGUUAGAGCGGUGGCACUUGAGAGUGAGUGCUUUGUGUUUGUUAGCGAUGCUAACGUGAGGGGUGAGGGCCAAGCAGGCAACUAUGUUGCGGUGGGACGUGGACUUCAAGAGGGCUAAAUUUGGCAGAGCUGUGAGCCAAGGUGAGAGUGAGGUCGUCAUUCUCAGGGGUAAGAUGUAAUACCUUUCAUCCAUAGGCGUCACUGUGGAUGUGGGUGACGGACCAGCCCUGGGAUAGAUUUUGCCCAUGGGCAAGAAAUUUGCGAUUCCAUUAAGUUCCCAUUCUGCAUGGAUAGUUGUCUGAAAUAGAGCAGAGAAUAUAAGGAAGAGUUGUCCAUAAUGGCUCUUCAUCCUGUUUCCUGUGUUAACAUCCAGCAUGGACAGUCAAGAUGUUUGCCAGAGAAGGGCAUUUGGCAGAACACCAGAAGUCAAGUAAGGCAAUAGUAAUGGCAAGGCCAAAUACUCAGCCUGUCCACCGCAUUACUUAGUUGGUGGUAAGUUUGUCCUUUUGAAGAGGAACUUAAGGUCUGUGACACGUUCACAAGGGUAACGAGUGGGUGGCCCAGUCACUUCUUCCUCAGACAUAGUGAUGUCUUCCCUCUGGUAGGAUGGGUCCUGUAAUUUGAGGGCAGAAUGAGUUGACUAGAUAAGGUCCUCUCCACUUGGGGUCUCACUAACUGGUCUUGUGGGUUUCCAGCCUUCCAAGUUUUCAAAUAAACCCAGUCCCCGGGGAGAAAGGAUGUAUGGCCAUGCCAGGAGGGAAGGUGGCUCGAUUGUCUUGCGGUGGAAAGCUGGGAUUAUUUCCCUCUCUGUAAGGCAUGUUUCUGUCGAGCUGUGUCCCUAAGGUUGAUCUUGGAGCUGGUCCUUCAGGAACGUGCCUCUCGUGUACGGGCUCGUAUGGACUCAGACUGAGCUUUCCUCGAGGGGUGAUUCCCAUUCUCGCAAGUGCAGUGGGGAGAAGGGGGAUCCAGGGUUGAUGAGUGUCUUGACAGAGUUUGGCUCAGUUUCUCUGGAGGGUUUGACUUAUUCUACUUUUCUUGAGGACUGUGGUUUCCGAAUGGGACGUAAACCCCAUUUAAUUCUUAGAGCUCUAGGGACUCCCUUGGUAGUCUGAAACAGAGGGAGGCCAUUGUCGCUCUGGAUGGACUUAGCCCAAACCCAGGAUUUGUCCCUUGAGCAGCACCAUCGAGACAGACCUCCAGGGCAGUGUUGGUUCGAUGGGGAUGACCUCCAUCCAGCCUGAGAACAUGUCGGUCAAAACCCUGCAGAUAGCUAAGAUUUCCUUGUGGCCAGGAUAUUACUGUAAAAUCAGUUUGCCAGGCAGUUCCCUGGUGGUGCAGUGGGUUGAGGAUCUGGUGCUAUCUCUGCUGUGGUGGAGGUUUGAUCCCUGGUCUUGAAACUUCUACAUGCCCACCCCCCCCAAAUCAGUGUAUCUGUCUUGACCUGGGUAUGUGGCUCUAUGCUGGGUGUUGGUCAUUCCCUUGACCUUUCUGGGGGUGGGGGGUGCAUGUGGUGAGUGGUGGGCUUAUUCCAGAGGCGGACAGGCAAGCUUUAACCACCUGUUGAAGGAGGCAUGAGAAACGGGGCCGUCAUGGACGUGAUGAGCAAUCAGUAUGGGGGCCCCCUGCCUGUGAUUGUGCUCUGGCGGGCGUCCCGGCUGGCGCAGUGCAGUGGCCAAUGGGAGGGGCAGCUGCCCAUGGUCAUAACCACCCACCCUGGGAAUCCUGGGCUUUUAAAAUAGCCCCAUCUGGGGAGUUCCCGUGGUGGUGCAAUGGAAAUGAAUCCAACGAAUAUCCAUGAAGAUGCAGGUUCGAUCUGUGGCCUUGCUUAGUGGGGUAAGGAAGGAUCUGGCGUUGCCAUGAGCUGCGGGGUAGGUCAUAGGGCUCAGGUCCCGUUUGGCUGUGGCGUAGGCCGGCGGCCACAGCUCUGAUUCGACCCCUAUGCUGGGAACUUCCAUGUGGCCCGGACAUGGCCCUAAAAAGCCAAAAAAAAAAAGCUCCACCUCAAAGCCCUUCCCCUUUUUUCUGGGGUGUAGGUGGGAGUGUAGGACUUCAGUUCUGGGGGAACUGGUAGGAAGAGAGAAGGAUCUUAGAGAAGCCUGACUUGGACUUGGAGGGUUUGACCCGUGUGCCCCCUUUCUUUAUGAGAAGCUGGAGCUAGUGGGGGUCAGGGACUGUCCAGAGGUUAAUUUGUCAGCCUCAUUGAGGACCCCCUCCCUUAAGCAUGGGGUCCUCCUUUCGUGCUUUGGACCAGUUUUAGAAAAAUAGGCUGCAGCCUGAGUCAGAGGUCCCCGAUUGUGUAAACGCUCAGGGCAGCUCCUCCUUUCUCAUGCAUGUAUGUGUGGACGGGAUGGCUCAGGUCAGAGGAGCUAACUUGGGGGUCUCAUGAGAUGGUUUUUCAGUUCCAGAAAUGCCUGGUCACAACUGGGGGUCCCCUGGAAGGGGUCAAGUUCCUCCCCUUUUCAGUGUUCUCACAAGGGCUUAGCGAUUAAGCCACAGUUAGGGAUCCCUGUGCAGCAGGACCCGACCAUCCUGGGAACCCCAGAGCUGCUUCCUUGUACUAGAGGCGCCAUCUGGCAACUCUUUCCUCUCCCUGUACAGGGCCCUUUGCCCCUUUUCUGUAAUGAACCCUAAGUGUUCUACCUGCCAGAGGGAGGUGUGCGCUUUCUCCUCUGCAGCUGUAUCCUCCCUCAGCCGGUGAUUUAAGACCUUAACUGCAUCGUGGUGAGGAAGCUCUUUGGUGGGGCUGGUGGUGAAAUGUCAUCCACUGUUGAAUAGCUCCCUGUUCUAACUUGAGGUGACCAACGUCCUUGGCUCAGCAGUAACAAACCCGACGAGUAUCUGGAUGUGGGUUCACUCCCUGGCCUCGCUCAGUGGGUUGAGGAUCCAGUGUUGCCAUGAGCUGUGGUAUAGUUCGAGGAUGCAGCUCGGAUCUGGCGUUGCUGUGGCUGUGGUGUAGCCUGGCAGCUAUAGCUCGGAUUAGACCCCUAGCCUGGGAACCUCCAUGUGCUUGCUGUGGGUGCGGCCCUAAAAAAUAUAAAAAAAAAAACCAUAGGGAGGUUUUAAAUCCUUGGAGAUACAGAAACAUUCAGCACAAUUGUUAUUUUCCCAUGCUGUCAGGGUUUCUGCCACCCAAGCGCAAAAAUGUAUUGAGAUUCUGGAGCUAGGGGCACACGCAAGAGGGCCUCUAACCCGGAGUACCAGGUCCUCUCAGGGCGUAGGUAGAGAGGUGAUGUGUUGGGCACCACAGUGUGAAUCUCCUCUGUAGCUUCAUUUACAGCCCAGAGGUCCUGAGCUUCCCAUUUGGCUCCUUUACCAGCAGAAGAGGAGUGUUGCAAGGGGGCCAGCGGGGUCUAAGGAGCUCUUGCUUGAGGAGGCUUUGUGUUGCUAAGGCUUCUUUGCUUAAGAGGUAUUGUGUUUUUAUUUGGGUGAUUGUGACUGGGUCACAGCCUGACUACGAGGGGCGGUGCCCUUCUGACUCUGCCCAUGGUGUCCCGGGUCCCUACUGGGGACCCUCAGGGUCAAUCAGGCUGUUAUUCUUGGCAGAGGGCAGUCGCACUUGGGCUGCAAAAUGGAAGGGAGCUUUGGGUGUUGCGAUGGUAAGGCGUUGGUCUCUGAGGUGAAUUGUAGCUCCCAGUUUGUAUAGUGCAUCUUUUCCUUUGAGGGGAGCUGAGCGGCGUUCUGGUACGUGUAAGAGUGAGACAGCAUUCUACCUUCUGCAUCCUACUCCAGGGGCUCUAUAAAGUUAUAUCCCUGCGGCCUCCCUUCUGCUCGCUUUAUCUUAGAGUUAUCCUUCGUCUUUUUGCUUUGUCGGUGUUCAAGGCUGAGUAGGUGGACACUGUGUCCACUAGAAAGUCAACCUUGGGGAGUUCCCGUCGUGGCGCGGUGGUUAACGAAUCCGACUAGGAAUCAUGAGGUUGCGGGUUCGGUCCCUGCCCUUGCUCAGUGGGUUAACGAACGAUCUGGCGUUGCCGUGAGCUGUGGUGUAGGUUGCAGACGCGGCUCGGAUCCCGCGUUGCUGUGGCUCUGGCGUAGGCCGGUGGCUACAGCUCCGAUUCAACCCCUAGCCUGGGAACCUCCAUAUGCCGCAGGAGCGGCCCAAGAAAUAGCAACAACAACAACAACAACAACAAAAAAGACAAAAAAAAAAAAAAAAAAGAAAGUCAACCUUUUUUUGGAGUUCCUGUCACGGCACAGUGGAAAUGAAUCCAACUAGGAACCAUGAAGUUGUGGGUUCGAUCCCUGGCCUCCUCGCUCAGUGGGUUAAGAAUCCGGUGUUGCCAUGACCUGUGGUGUAGGGCGCAGAUGCAGCUCAGAUCUGGCGUGGCUGUGGCUGUGGUGUUGGCCAGCAGCUGUAGCUCCGAUUCGACCCCUAGCCUGGGAACCUCCAUAUGCUGUGGUGUGGCUCUAAGGAAAAAAAGAAAGUCAACCUUUUUUGGUUUUUCUCCUCCUUUUUUGGCUGCAUGGCCAUAGAACAUACUCCAUAGAGUUCUCAGGCCAGAGAUCAGAUCUGUGCCACACUUGGGACCUAAGCCACAGCUGUGGCAGCAGUGUGCCUGGCUGGGGAUUGAACCUGCAUCCUGCCGCUGCAGAGACAUCACCGAUCCAAUUGCACCGCAGCAGGAACUCCAGAGAGUUAGCCUUUUUACCCCCCACAGUCAGGUUCAGCCAAGGCUCCUCCAGGUUCUCUGCUUCUUUCACGUGUAUGACCAGUGAGCAUGAGCCAGGACACUGUGUCCCUUAGCUCCCUUCCAGUACCAUUGGGGCACCCCUGUCCAGGGGCCCUCCUGCAGGCGGUAUGGAUGCUGAUUGGCUUGGAGCCCUUCUCUCCACUGUGGGCAUGGUCUUUGAAACCCAGCGCAGUUCGUCCAUGUCACUGGGUUGGGGGUGCAUCAUCACUGGAAGUUGGUUGAUCCUGAAUCCCUGAAGCCAGAACACUGACAGUUCUUUCUCUUCAUCUAUCCUCCCUGGCAUCCACCUCCAGAUCCCUAACAUCCAAAAUGCAGACCCCACCUCUGGCACGGCGGGCCCUCCCUCCAACUUCUGUCACUUUCUCCUGUUGUCUGGGUGCUCUGGGAAGUGAAAUGGAGCUUAAAGUGGCCCUCCCUUCCACUGCCCCCAGGUUCACAUUUGUGUACACGGGAAGGCCGAGGGGUUUUCCUCCCGCCCCUGGAUACCACCCUGAGCCCUAUUCCAGUUGAUAGGUUUCUUCCCAGCCAACUGAAUGCCCUUAGGAAUCAAAUCCUGUGGAGUUCCCUGGUGGCAUAGUGGGUUAAGAAUCUGGUGUUGUCAUUGCUGUGGCUCUGGUUACAGCUGUGGCAUGAGUUUGAUCCCUGGCCUGGGAACUUUCCCAUGCCAUGGGGAAGGCCAAAAAAAAAAAAAAA
ensembl:lncRNA